rnacentral:rRNA from 1 species
CCUACGGGAGGCAGCAGUGGGGAAUAUUGCACAAUGGGCGCAAGCCUGAUGCAGCCAUGCCGCGUGUGUGAAGAAGGCCUUCGGGUUGUAAAGCACUUUCGGCGGGGAGGAAGGCGGUGAGGUUAAUAACCUCAUCGAUUGACGUUACCCGCAGAAGAAGCACCGGCUAACUCCGUGCCAGCAGCCGCGGUAAUACGGAGGGUGCAAGCGUUAAUCGGAAUUACUGGGCGUAAAGCGCACGCAGGCGGUCUGUCAAGUCGGAUGUGAAAUCCCCGGGCUCAACCUGGGAACUGCAUUCGAAACUGGCAGGCUAGAGUCUUGUAGAGGGGGGUAGAAUUCCAGGUGUAGCGGUGAAAUGCGUAGAGAUCUGGAGGAAUACCGGUGGCGAAGGCGGCCCCCUGGACAAAGACUGACGCUCAGGUGCGAAAGCGUGGGGAGCAAACAGGAUUAGAUACCCGGGUAGUC